UACGGAGGGUGCAAGCGUUAUCCGGAUUCACUGGGUUUAAAGGGUGCGUAGGCGGGUAAGUAAGUCAGUGGUGAAAUCUCCGGGCUUAACUCGGAAACUGCCGUUGAUACUAUUUAUCUUGAAUAUCAUGGAGGUAAGCGGAAUAUGUCAUGUAGCGGUGAAAUGCUUAGAUAUGACAUAGAACACCGAUAGCGAAGGCAGCUUACUACAUGUUAAUUGACGCUGAGGCACGAAAGCGUGGGGAGCAAACAGG
rnacentral:rRNA from 2 species